rnacentral:rRNA from 1 species
GUUUGAUCCUGGCUCAGAAUGAACGCUGGCGGCAUGCCUAACACAUGCAAGUCGAACGAAUUACCUUCGGGUAGUUAGUGGCGCACGGGUGCGUAACGCGUGGGAAUCUGCCCCUUGGUUCGGAAUAACAGUUGGAAACGACUGCUAAUACCGGAUGACGACGUAAGUCCAAAGAUUUAUCGCCGAGGGAUGAGCCCGCGUAGGAUUAGGUAGUUGGUGUGGUAAAGGCGCACCAAGCCGACGAUCCUUAGCUGGUCUGAGAGGAUGAUCAGCCACACUGGGACUGAGACACGGCCCAGACUCCUACGGGAGGCAGCAGUGGGGAAUAUUGGACAAUGGGCGAAAGCCUGAUCCAGCAAUGCCGCGUGAGUGAUGAAGGCCUUAGGGUUGUAAAGCUCUUUUUACCCGGGAUGAUAAUGACAG